rnacentral:rRNA from 1 species
ACGAACGCUGGCGGCGUGCUUAACACAUGCCAGUCGAACGGAAAGGCCCCUUUGGGGGUACUCGAGUGGCGAACGGGUGAGUAACACGUGAGUAACCUGCCCUUGACUUCGGGAUAACUUCAGGAAACUGGGGCUAAUACCGGAUAGGAAUCCUUGCUGCAUGGUGGGGGUUGGAAAGCUUCGGCGGUUUUGGAUGGACUCGCGGCUUAUCAGCUUGUUGGUGGGGUAGUGGCUUACCAAGGCUUUGACGGGUAGCCGGCCUGAGAGGGCGACCGGCCACAUUGGGACUGAGAUACGGCCCAGACUCCUACGGGAGGCAGCAGUGGGGAAUAUUGCACAAUGGGCGGAAGCCUGAUGCAGCAACGCCGCGUGCGGGAGGACGGCCUUCGGGUUGUAAACCGCUUUCAGCAGGGGCGAAGCUUGUGGUGACGGUACCUGCAGAAGAAGCACCGGCUAACUACGUG